UGCACUUCCUGUCUCAUCCUUUAGGGACAUGC
rnacentral:piRNA from 1 species